rnacentral:lncRNA from 1 species
CGAGGGCCAAUUCAGUUUAGAGGUUUUGUCAGAAGUCGACAAAUAUACUGCAUUUAAGAUAGCAACAAGUCUCCAGAAAUUAAAAGAUGACUGUCAAAAAGGUAGCCUUGAAGAUGUCCUGGAAUUUCUCCACAAAGGAGAAAUAAAAAAUGGUUUCAUUAAACCUAGUAAUACUCAAAUUAAAAUGAAACCCAUAGACAAAGACGAUGAUAGACAAACAGACGUUGAAUGCCGAAGGACAAAAUCAUUGGUUAGUACUAAUGAACCGUAUCGUUUGGGCCAACACAAAGAAUAUCCGAAAAAAAUACAAAACAAAUCAAUUGAAUACGACAACCCCGAAAAGUUCGGUUAAUAAAAAAAUCGCGACACACGGAUUUGAAUAUUAAAGAUUUCAGAUUGGAUAGACGAAAGGUUCCGCGAAUCGGUUGGGUGAAAAUGAAAAAUUGUAAGGUGAAACAAGUGACACCUACUCCAAGAUGGAAAACAUAUUUAAGAAAUCUUGAAAUAGCAAAUGGUGUUGGUGAAUAUUUUGGGAUGAAUAUACCUUCUUUUAAAAGACCAAGCGUACCAUGGCAGACCGUGAACCGACAAUCACCGAUAUCGUACAAACUUCGAUUUUUAGACGAGGAUCAUUAACACACGCUGCGUGACCACCAUACUGCUUGUAACCUAUCAAACAAUGUAAUAGUUGUGAACAUGGUUGUAGUUGUGCUAAAAAUGAUUGUGGACAUCAUAGAACAUAAAUUUUACAGAUAAAAAAGUAUGUAAAUAUUAUCAAACCAAUCAA